rnacentral:rRNA from 1 species
UACCAGCACCCCGAGUGGUCGGGACGUUUAUUGGGCCUAAAGCAUCCGUAGCCGGUUCUACAAGUCUUCCGUUAAAUCCACCUGCUUAACAGAUGGGCUGCGGAAGAUACUAUGGAGCUAGGAGGCGGGAGAGGCAAGCGGUACUCGAUGGGUAGGGGUAAAAUCCGUUGAUCCAUUGAAGACCACCAGUGGCGAAGGCGGCUUGCCAGAACGCGCUCGACGGUGAGGGAUGAAGGCUGGGGGAGCAAACCGG